UUUAAAUUAAUAAACAAUUUAUAUUGUUAUAAUACAUAUAGUAAUAUUGUAAGAUUUUAAUCAAAGAUAAUUUAUCAAUGACUUACCUAAUAAGAGAAAUAAUGUGUAGAAAUGAAUAGUAGGUUCUGGCGAAGUAAACACUACAGGUCGGUGUUGUUCCUAUUGAACUUGGGGGGAGUGACACCUCGUCAGUCUCCCUGCGACCGUGAAACCGUAAGCACGUGCUCAUUAACUUCUUAUCGAUAACAACUUCGUACUUUGCAUAUUUCGUGUAUUUUCGUGUGUGUAUUGCAUAGUGUGUACUAGUAUGGACUAGUGUGUUAUUUACUGUAUUCUUUUCUUCUGGAUUUGUCAAGCUGUCCACGUGUGCAGUUCCAUGUGUAAUCGCAUCCUAUUUGCACGUGUUAGCAAAAAUUGGUGGGUACAUGCCGAGGAAAAGCAACCACCUUUUACGAGUGUCCACGAAACAGAGGCCCCCUGUCGAAGACCAUCGGCCGUUUAUCAAAUAUCCGCAGUUAAUCCAGUUACGGGCAAUCCGGCAGCACGACGCUCGGAGAUUGUGAAGAGGACGAGGAAAAGGGAGGCGGUGUGGCGCGGGUAGGGGCGUCCGCGCGGAUAGCUAGCUGCUGAUUGCAGCGGGUAAUGACGGGGCCCAGGGGUGAGCAGCAGCCUGGAAGGAGAUUCCGCGACGGGCCCGCUGGUACCCAGGGGACAUCAAAGAGAGAGGGCGAAGUUAUCAUAGUGAGCCGAUGACGUUAAAAGUUCUGGUUCACGGGAGCACGGAACGCCGUAGGCGACGUUUUCAGAUGAGAGGGGCCCUUUCUCGUAACCCCGCGAGGAUCGUGAUUAAAAUUAUUGCCCGACCGAAAGUCAACACGUCGCGCAAACAAAGGAUAAACGCAUUCGCGGGCAAUGGUACACGAAAAGUGGCGAGCAUCCAGUUCGCGAUUAGCAUCGCAAAAUAUUUCUUCCCUCCGCUGGCUGCUGUGGUCGUUUUAUAUUGCUUCCCUGUGAUCUCUCGACGAGAACAGAGCAAGAGUUUUGACGCUGGUGGAAGAGGACGAAACGAGCCGAUCUCGAGGCCUCGGUGACGAGAGACGAGCAGGAGAGCAGAAGAGAGUAAAGAGCAUCGGUGGUUGAAAGUUGCCGGGGGCAUGCUUUUGUAGUUAUGGACAAGUUGCACGGUUGGUGACGAGUGAAAGAGGCAAUUUGUUAGAAGAGGAGCUGGUUUCUCGUGAUACAUUUAGGAUCUGUCGUGCGCACCGAAAGGGAUGGGGAGAAAAACGCUUCUUGCCACCUCUCUUCAUUUCUGCAGGCUACGGUUCAAAUAAUUAACCGAUCUGUCUCCUUGCUAAUUACAAGAAAGAACAAAGGUCAUUAUUCGAUAUCAAUGGGAGCUGAAAUUUGCCUUACUGCAAACAGAAAUCAUUUGAAAUUAUUACAGAUACAAUUCGCUUAAUUACUUCUGUUGCACCCUCUGCUUCGAACACCCUUUCGCUUAUUCUUUCCCUCUCUCUUUAUUCGACAGUUUUUACUAGUGAACGAUAAUCAGUGUUAAAAUGCGUGAAUGCACUCGAUGCACGGGCACACAAGCAUCAAACCCUCUCGCAGCUUUUCGUCCCGUUCCGAACCGACUCGACCCGACCCGGUGUGACUUAAUUAAUGGAAGCGUGAGAGGCGUCGACAAAGUCGUCUUUGUCGACAAGUUCGCGGGACUGGGUCAAUAAAGAAGCCACCGGACGAUCGAGCGUUUCCAUCAAUCGCCUACCGUACCGCAUUAUCGAUCCGUUUCGAACGGUCGACACGAUUAUCGAUCGAGUCAGGACGCGCGUUCGUUUAAAUUCGAUGCGCGCAGAUUCCUCGAGUUACUCUAUCAAGCAAUCAUCUUCUCUGAGAAUUGAUCCACAAGUUACGUGGAAUAGAUUCAAGCUGUUACCGCGCACAUGCGUGCAUGCAAAUGAUACUUUUUUAGACAGAACUACGCUAACUCGGAAGGAUGACUCAGUUAUUAGGCUGAUAGUUUUUACGCUCUGGAACUGGAGUUGAAACACGGAAGUCUCUGUUCUCGCACGCUGUUGAUAAUGAUUAAAUUAUCAGUUUAAGUACUAUGUUUUUUUAUACAAAACGUUGUAACAGAAUGUUACGUAAAUUUUAAUUUCACGCUUUACAGAGAUAUCUUUCUUAAGAGAAUAGAUUGGAAUUAAAAAAAAAAGUAUCACAGUCUCGGUUGUAAGUCGUCUUCGACGAUUUAUCAGGUCCAAGAGUGGUUUAUCGUUGACCCUUGAAAAUAAAUAGCUACCCACCAAAUAAGCCUCUUUAUCUGCUUCCAUAAAUAGAAAAUAGCAGGACCCGAUAAGUCGUGAAGACGUUACGUGCCUCUACCAGAGAUCCGUUCAUUUUUCAUCGGUUAUCAGAGGGAAUUCAAUUAAACGGCUGCUGCGUUAAAACGCGUCUAAAAGAGACACGUAAAACACGAGACGUGCAUCGAACACGGGUUAAACGUGUCCCGCUGAAACGUUGAGCAGAAAUUUCAAUAAUUGAUAGUGGGAUCGUUGCGUGUCCAUAUCAACGCAUCUUCGUCAUAUAUCGUAUGCAAGGCAGGGUGAUUCAUGGUCACGGUAAAAUCAUGAAUAAUCGCUCGACAAUAAUGCGCAUACACAUGUACGGACGCGUUCCCUAUAGAUAUUCAGAGUAAAACUGAUUACGCUCGGAAAAUUACGCUCGGCGAGCUUUAUUUUCACGCAGAAAUUAUACAAUGUAUAUUAACAAAAAAUGAGAUUACUGAUUAUAAUAGGCAAACCAAGUUUAAGAACACAUCGGUUGGUAAGUUUUAUGAAACGGGUAUCGUGAAUCCAAUUAUGUACAUACCCGGUUAGAGAAGGUGGAAUCGAGUGUCUAUUAAAAAUGGUACAGGCAAAAUAUAGGAGAAUUUAAUAACAUUGAAUGAUUUAUCAUGCUUAAAACAACAUUCUUUUGCUUAAUUAAUAUGAAAACUAUUCAAUGGAACGAUUCGUGCUAUUAACGGUACAAACGGCGAACACGCAUCCAGUAUCUCGGAAACUGGCAAACUGAUGGAAUUAAUUGCAAAAAUGUAGCGAUCAAUCGAGCGUAAGUAAUUUAACGCAGGUACCGGUACGCGUAAUGACUCGUUCGAUUCGGUUUAUGCUUAAAACACGGUUAUCCGUAGCCAGUUAAUCAAGCCAACGCGGAAGUGCUCGGAAACGAGAUGAAAGGGACCAAUCUGAACGGCAGUCAAUACCGUAUAAACACUUUUAUCAACGAAACAGAAUUCGGCUGCCCUCACGAUUCAAGAACGAACGUGGACAACCUAUGUAACUGGACCAAUCGACGAAUUGACAGACAACUAGCUAGUUUUUCGUAUAACCGAGACGCGACAAAGGUUAUAAAGUCAUAGCUGUCGAAACGAGCGUGAAAUAGGAUGCGAGAAAGGGAAAAGAAACGGGGAAAUGCAAAG